UACGUAGGGUGCAAGCGUUGUCCGGAAUUAUUGGGCGUAAAGAGCUCGUAGGCGGUCUGUCGCGUCGGUCGUGAAAACUUGGGGCUUAACCCUGAGCUUGCGGUCGAUACGGGCAUGACUGGAGUUCGGCAGGGGAAACUGGAAUUCCUGGUGUAGCGGUGAAAUGCGCAGAUAUCAGGAGGAACACCGGUGGCGAAGGCGGCGUCCUGGACCAACACUGACACUGAUGAGCGAAAGCCAGGGGAGCAAACGGG
rnacentral:rRNA from 1 species